rnacentral:rRNA from 1 species
AUUGAACGCUGGCGGCAGGCUUAACACAUGCAAGUCGAGCGGGGUGAUGGUGCUUGCACUAUCACUUAGCGGCGGACGGGUGAGUAAUGCUUAGGAAUCUGCCUACUAGUGGGGGACAACAUCUAGAAAGGGAUGCUAAUACAGCAUACGUCCUACGGGAGAAAGCAGAGGAUCACUUGUGACCUUGCGCUAAUAGAUGGGCCUAAGUCGGAUUAGCUAGCUGGUGGGGUAAAGGCCUACCAAGGCGACGAUCUGUAGCGGGUCUGAGAGGAUGAUCCGCCACACUGGGACUGAGACACGGCCCAGACUCCUACGGGAGGCAGCAGCGGGGAACAUUGGACAAUGGGGGGAACCCUGAUCCAGCCAUGCCGCGUGUGUGAAGAAGGCCUUAUGGUUGUAAAGCACUUUAAGCGAGGAGGAGGCUCUUUUGGUUAAUACCCAAGAUGAGUGGACGUUACUCGCAGAAUAAGCACCGGCUAACUCUGUGCCAGCCGCCGCAGUAA